rnacentral:piRNA from 1 species
UCUUGGUGUCCCUCGACUUUAAGGUCCUAG